AUUGAACGCUGGCGGCAUGCCUUACACAUGCAAGUCGAACGGCAGCACGGGUGCUUGCACCUGGUGGCGAGUGGCGAACGGGUGAGUAAUACAUCGGAACAUGUCCUGUAGUGGGGGAUAGCCCGGCGAAAGCCGGAUUAAUACCGCAUACGAUCUACGGAUGAAAGCGGGGGACCUUCGGGCCUCGCGCUAUAGGGUUGGCCGAUGGCUGAUUAGCUAGUUGGUGGGGUAAAGGCCUACCAAGGCGACGAUCAGUAGCUGGUCUGAGAGGACGACCAGCCACACUGGGACUGAGACACGGCCCAGACUCCUACGGGAGGCAGCAGUGGGGAAUUUUGGACAAUGGGCGAAAGCCUGAUCCAGCAAUGCCGCGUGUGUGAAGAAGGCCUUCGGGUUGUAAAGCACUUUUGUCCGGGAAGAAAUCCUUGGCCCUAAUACGGUCGGGGGAUGACGGUACCGGAAGAAUAAGCACCGGCUAACUACGU
rnacentral:rRNA from 1 species